CCUACGGGUGGCAGCAGUGAGGAAUAUUGGUCAAUGGGCGCGAGCCUGAACCAGCCACGUAGCGUGAAGGAUGACUGCCCUACGGGUUGUAAACUUCUUUUAUAAAGGAAUAAAGUGAGGCACGUGUGCCUUUUUGUAUGUACUUUAUGAUUACGGCUCGGCUAACUCCGUGCCAGCAGCCGCGGUAAUACGGAGGAUCCGAGCGUUAUCCGGAUUUAUUGGGUUUAAAGGGAGCGUAGAUGGGUUGUUAAGUCAGUUGUGAAAGUUUGCGGCUCAACCGUAAAAUUGCAAUUGAUACUGGCAGCCUGGAGUACAGGUGAGGGAGGUGGAAUUCGUGGUGUAGCGGUGAAAUGCUUAGAGAUCACGAAGAAUGCCGAUUGCGAAGGCAGCCUACUAAAC
rnacentral:rRNA from 1 species